AGGCUUCAUCCUCCACUUCAAGCACGUGCAGGAUCACGCUACAAAGCAUGUGGUGAACUCCUUGCCCAGGCUGUAUUUCCCCGCGGGACGGCUCAGGUUCAUCUCUUCUCUCUCCUACUGACAAGAACGGAGGUUAAUCCUUGGGUGGAUUACGCUCCGUAACUCUAAGGACCGAAUUUCAAGCCAUGAUGACAAGAGGUGUGUCCACACCACACAACUCUCCUCUCCCAGACUGAAAGUUUGCAAUUAAAUAAGGAAAUAAACCAGCACAAUGCGUGUUUUGAAGCUCCGUGGUUUGCUCUGUAGCUUUUCCUUGUACAGGAUUUGCCUUCAGCCAGGAGGCAGAGAGGGUCACCAUGUCCCAGCACUGCCUGUGACACAAAGCCCUGCCUGCCCUCCAACCCACAAAGAUUUAUGAGCCCUUCCUUCAAUCUCACAAGCCUCAAUUUCACCCCGUAACCUCUCCCGAACCCGCAGUGAGUCAGCACAACUUGUCUGCGGAGGCAAGAUCGAUGCACAGUUCUGGAGCAGAUAAAGCCUACCCCUGGGUCAGCCAGGAGGCGUUUUGGCCAUAUUAUUGCUGUCCCUUCUCCCAUCCCAUGCCCCCGGAGAUGCUCCGGCUGACGUUGCCUCGCUCACCCUCCCAAGACAAGCCAAGGUCAUGGCACAAAUCUGCUCAGAACCAAGUUAUCUUCCAGCGUCUAUACACAAAUCUUGUCCCACAAGUGUUUUUGGGGCCGCCGGAGAAGUUUUCUUCCAACUGUGAGGAAAACACGAGCGCUGUCAAUUGGCACGUACGAGUGAGAACGUGGCUGGCAAAACUAUUUUCCCUGGGGUCUUGGCCAAACCCUUCCCACGUUGUCACGUCCCGACUCCCCAAAGUCUCCCAGAAAAGAUAAAUAAAAAUAAAAACCUAAAUUUGA